rnacentral:rRNA from 1 species
AGUGAGCGCUGGCGGUAGGCCUAACACAUGCAAGUCGAACGGCAGCACAGUAAGAGCUUGCUCUUACGGGUGGCGAGUGGCGGACGGGUGAGGAAUACAUCGGAAUCUACUUUUUCGUGGGGGAUAACGUAGGGAAACUUACGCUAAUACCGCAUACGACCUACGGGUGAAAGCAGGGGAUCUUCGGACCUUGCGCGAUUGAAUGAGCCGAUGUCGGAUUAGCUAGUUGGCGGGGUAAAGGCCCACCAAGGCGACGAUCCGUAGCUGGUCUGAGAGGAUGAUCAGCCACACUGGAACUGAGACACGGUCCAGACUCCUACGGGAGGCAGCAGUGGGGAAUAUUGGACAAUGGGCGCAAGCCUGAUCCAGCCAUACCGCGUGGGUGAAGAAGGCCUUCGGGUUGUAAAGCCCUUUUGUUGGGAAAGAAAAGCAGCAGGUUAAUACCCCGCUGUUCUGACGGUACCCAAAGAAUGAGCACCGGCUAACUUCGUG